rnacentral:rRNA from 1 species
CCUGCCUGUAAGACUGGGAUAACUCCGGGAAACCGGGGCUAAUACCGGAUGCUUGAUUGAACCGCAUGGUUCAAUUAUAAAAGGUGGCUUUUACCUACCACUUACAGAUGGACCCGCGGCGCAUUACCUAGUUGGUGAGGUAACGGCUCACCAAGGCAACGAUGCGUAGCCGACCUGAAAGGGUGAUCGGCCACACUGGGACUGAAACACGGCCCAAACUCCUACGGGAGGCAGCAGUAGGGAAUCUUCCGCAAUGGACAAAAGUCUGACGGAGCAACGCCGCGUGAGUGAUGAAGGUUUUCGGAUCGUAAAACUCUGUUGUUAGGGAAGAACAAGUACCGUUCGAAUAGGGCGGUACCUUGACGGUACCUAACCAAAAAGCCACGGCUAACUACGUGCCAGCAGCCGCGGUAAUACGUAGGUGGCAAGCGUUGUCCGGAAUUAUUGGGCGUAAAGCGCGCGCAGGCGGUUUCUUAAGUCUGAUGUGAAAGCCCCCGGCUCAACCGGGGAGGGUCAUUGGAAACUGGGGAACUUGAUUGCAAAAAAGGAAAGUGGAAUUCCACGUGUAGCGGUGAAAUGCGUAAAGAUGUGGAGGAACACCAGUGGCGAAGGCGACUCUCUGG